UUUAACUCCUCCUUUAGAAAGUACUCUUCCAGCAGCUGCCUUUUUACUCCAACGGAGUUCCUGCAGGUCCAACCACAAAAGUAUUUAUGAAACACAUUCACAAUUUUGCUGCCUGCUAGUCUGAACUUUAGGUGUCAACCGGUGGUUUCUUAACGGCUACAAACAAAAUACUGAGGCUGCUUAGAAGACCAAAAAGAUGAAGAAUUGCUCAAUAAAUAUUUUAUGUAUGUGUAAGAAAACAUGGGAAUGACACUGGAACGCUUGUUUUUGGGACUAGUGAAGAUGGAACCACUGUAGAGGCAUCACAUGCGUCUGAUGAAAUCCAGUUAACCCGGCUACCCCUCUGAUACUGUAGAGGUGGAUACUCUCACUUUUUGGGGGAGAUGAUGCAAGCUUCAUUAACAUGAGAGAAGACUUCAAGAAACCAAAUGAGGGGAGCCUGAAGUCUCCUGACUCCUACUAUGCAGGAAUAGCCUCACUUAGAAGAUAAGGUUCAAAAUAAAUGAAUAAAUUAAAGGAAAUAUCAGCUUUAGUAUAAUAACUCCCAUGAAUACAAAUAUUCACUUUUCACAGAGCACACACAAAUGCUACUAGUAUACAGAUUAAA